GUGGGUGGCUCAGUCGGUAGAGCAUAGGGCUUGUGACCGUGAGGUCCCGGGUUCGAAUCUCGCCAGAGGCA
rnacentral:tRNA from 1 species